CCAGACUCCUACGGGAGGCAGCAGUGGGGGAUAUUGCACAAUGGGGGGAACCCUGAUGCAGCGACGCCGCGUGGGUGAAGGAGUAUUUCGGUAUGUAAAGCCCUAUCGGCAGGGAAGAAGCAAGACGGUACCUGACUAAGAAGCCCCGGCUAACUACGUGCCAGCAGCCGCGGUAAUACGUAGGGGGCGAGCGUUAUCCGGAUUCACUGGGUGUAAAGGGAGCGUAGACGGCCAAGCAAGCCAGGGGUGAAAGCGCGGGGGGCAACCCCGGGACUGCCCUUGGAACUGCAGGGCAGGAGUGCGGGAGGGGGAGGCGGAAAUCCUGGUGUAGCGGUGAAAUGCGUAGAUAUCAGGAGGAGCACCGGCGGCGAAGGCGGCCUGCUGGGCCGCGACUGACGUUGAGGCCCGAAAGCGUGGGGAGCAAACAGGAUUAGAUACCCUAGUAAUA
rnacentral:rRNA from 1 species